rnacentral:lncRNA from 1 species
UGGGUGAUAACUUUUGCUCCGGUUGUCUGAGAAAGUCUGGGUGGAGUUAAAAUUCUAAGGUAGUUGUGAGUUAGUAGGAUAAUAGGGGGAAGUUGAGAUAUUGUAGAUUAGAUUUUUUAUUUUAUUUUAAUUUUAUCUUCUUUUCCCAAAAAUAAAAAUAAUAUAUUCCUUCCUUUUUCUUUUCUUUUUUUACAUUUCUUUUUUCUCUCAGUUCAUUCUUCUUUUCCUUUCCUAACGUUUUUAAUUCUUUGCAAAAAUCCUCCUUCAUUCUUCUGUUGAUUUUGUUGGCGAAUCAUUUGUUCAAUUGUUACUACUUGGCUUUCGG